CUCACUUAGAUCCAAUUCAGGUGCAAGUCAAGACAUCAUCCUGGUGAUGUCAUUGGUCCUCUUCAAAACUAAAGAAGAACAACAACUGACCUGGGGGGAAGGUGGAGAAGUCAGAAAAGUCCCAGGUGAGAAGUGAAGAGAAGUCUGACCAGAGCUCUCUCCUUAAAUGGAAGGGAAGAGAGGAAGGGAAAACAAGAGGAUGAUUAGCUCAUUGGCUUACUAACUCUUGUUUAAUUGAAUUCACUGGUAGGCUUUUAGUCAACCAAGAGGCUACCAGCAGGAGGUAUUUUUCUUCCACAAUGAGCAAGUUGUAGCAGGAAAGGAAGCACCUGGAUGCUCCAUAUCUGGUCUCUCCAGCCUUUGGCCCUUCUUCCAUUUCCUAUCACUGCUUGCUCCUAUCUCUGGAAAGAUGGAGAUACUUUGACCCAGAGAGACAAAGCAUGCUGUGUAAGGCCUCACAGGGAGUAAGGAGAGUCCAAGAUCAAACCCAGGCCCAGUGACGCCAAAUUCAAGUCUCCUUCAGUAUAUUAUGGCGCUGCCGCCUUCCCCCCACUAUUCCUCCUCCCUGCUCCUCACACACACUAACACACACUCCAAAGCUUCCCUGAAUGGCUGACCUCAACCAUCAUCAGAUCAAGUGAGCUAAUUUUGUAAACAUUCUCAGAUGUGACUCAGUGAGGCCAUCCAAGAUGGAAAGAAGAACCUUGGCUGCCCUUCCUGGGGAUAGGGGUGAGGGACAACAGAACAAGUGGUUUGUGUGUUGA